rnacentral:misc_RNA from 1 species
UGUUUUUCUGGGUUGAGAAUUGUUACUAGGUAAUUUUCACUGUAGUUGUUGCGUUAUCUUCCUCCCCUUUCAUGUGAUGGAUGCAGGUGAUGUGGUGAGACAAUAGCUCUUUAUCUCCAUCCUUUUGACUCACCGUGCAAGGGUGGCUUGAAUGAAGGUUAAAUCAUGCUGGUGGUACCUUAAACUUUAAUUUAUAGAAAUUUAUAGUACCAAACUUCUUGAUUUUUAAGUAAUAUAAAAUCUUUUGUAACCUUUAAGUGGUCAUACAUUAUUUAUAUUAAUGUGUCAUUUAAUUUAAAAAGUUAUAUUUUUAUGGUUUAGUAGUUUUG